rnacentral:rRNA from 1 species
AUUGAACGCUGGCGGCAGGCCUAACACAUGCGAGUCGAGCGGAUGAAGGGAGCUUGCUCCUGGAUUCAGCGGCGGACGGGUGAGUAAUGCCUAGGAAUCUGCCUUGUAGUUGGGGAUAACGUCCGUAAACGGGCGCUAAUACCGCAUACGUCCUGAGGGAGAAAGUGGUGGAUCUUCGGACCUCACGCUAUCAGAUGAGCCUAGGUCGGAUUAGCUAGUUGGUGGGGUAAAGGCCUACCAAGGCGACGAUCCGUAACUGGUCUGAGAGGAUGAUCAGUCACACUGGAACUGAGACACGGUCCAGACUCCUACGGGAGGCAGCAGUGGGGAAUAUUGGACAAUGGGCGAAAGCCUGAUCCAGCAAUGCCGCGUGUGUGAAGAAGGUCUUCGGAUUGUAAAGCACUUUAAGUUGGGAGGAAGGACAGUAAGUUAAUCCCUUGCUGUUUUGACGGUACCAACAGAAUAAGCACCGGCUAACUUCGUG